rnacentral:rRNA from 1 species
AUUGAACGCUGGCGGCAGGCCUAACACAUGCAAGUCGAGCGAGCGGCGGACGGGUGAGUAAUGUCUGGGAAACUGCCUGAUGGAGGGGGAUAACUACAGGAAACGGUAGCUAAUAACGCAUCCCAUUAGAUGUGCCCAGGUGGGAUUAGCUAGUAGGUGGGGUAAUGGCGCAGCUAGGCGACGAUCCCUAGCUGUGCUGAGAGGUGGACCAGCCACACUGGAACUGAGACACGGUACAGACUCCUACGUGAGGCAGCAGUGGGGAAUAUUGCACAAUGGGCGAAAGCCUGAUGCAGCCAUGCCGCGUGUAUGAAGAAGGCCUUCGGGUUGUAAAGUACUUUCAGCUAGGAGGCGUUACCCGCAGAAGAAGCACCGGCUAACUCCGUGCCAGCAGCCGCGGUAAUAC